rnacentral:lncRNA from 1 species
GCCAUGGUAAAAAAAUCGAUGAAGGUCGCCGGAGAUGGUGGUUAAGGAUGGAGAUGGCGAUGAGAUGGUGAAGGAACGAUUCAACGGUGAACGAUGAACGAAGACAUACAACGGUGACCGGAGAUAAUGAUGAUGGUGAAACAGAUGUGUUGACGGGAGGCGAGAGUUUGAAGAGGAUGAUGUAUGACAGUCGCCGGAGAUGAAUAGGAGCUGUUGGUGUCGGUGGCGGAUUGCCGGAAGAGAGUUGCAGGUUCUAGUGAUGACCGGAGAAGGUGAUUGAAGUGAACAGGAGGUGAUGAAUGACGAUGGAUGGUGGUAACCGGAAAAGAUGGAGGUGGUCGGACGUGGUCGGAGGUGGUGUAGGAGAUGACGUACGGUGACGAUGGUGAAGAUGCAGACGAUGAAGAGGAUGACGGAGGGUUGUUGAAGGAGGUGAACGAUGUCGGAUGAAAAUGUUGAUUACGGAUGAUUACGGAUGAGGAAUGAUGAAGAUAUGAUCUCGGAUGGAUUGCAAUUGAUGUUGACUGAUUUCGGAUGGAAUGAUGUGUGAACUUGAUAUGGUGCUCGAAUGAAAAUGAGGUAUCUCGGAUGAAUUACGGAUGAAGAAUGACGAUCACGGAUGAAAGAACGAUGAUUUCGGAUGAAUGAAGUGAUGAAUACGGUUUAAUGUCGAAUGUACGAUGAAUGACAAAUGUGAUGUUGACAGAUGCCAAUGUAUGAUGUAUGAUUGUUGUGAAAAGAAAUUUUGUACUAUGAUAGAUGUUAUCAGACAAUGAUUUAAUAAUAUAUGU